ACGCACGCUGGCGGCGUGCUUAACCCAUGCCAGUCGCACGGAAAGGCCCUGCUUUUGUGGGGUGCUCGAGUGGCGAACGGGUGAGUAACACGUGAGUAACCUGCCCUUGACUUUGGGAUAACUUCAGGAAACUGGGGCUAAUACCGGAUAGGAGCUCCUGCUGCAUGGUGGGGGUUGGAAAGUUUCGGCGGUUGGGGAUGGACUCGCGGCUUAUCAGCUUGUUGGUGGGGUAGUGGCUUACCAAGGCUUUGACGGGUAGCCGGCCUGAGAGGGUGACAGGCCACAUUGGGACUGAGAUACGGCCCAGACUCCUACGGGAGGCAGCAGUGGGGAAUAUUGCACAAUGGGCGGAAGCCUGAUGCAGCAACGCCGCGUGCGGGAUGACGGCCUUCGGGUUGUAAACCGCUUUCGCCUGUGACGAAGCGUGAGUGACGGUAAUGGGUAAAGAAGCACCGGCUAACUACGUG
rnacentral:rRNA from 1 species